AGUUUGAUCCUGGCUCAGGACGAACGCUGGCGGCGUGCUUAACACAUGCAAGUCGAGCGGUAAGGCCCUUCGGGGUACACGAGCGGCGAACGGGUGAGUAACACGUGAGCAACCUGCCCCUGACUCCGGGAUAAGCGGUGGAAACGCCGUCUAAUACCGGAUAUGACACGCCACCUCAUGGUGGUGUGUGGAAAGUUUUUCGGUCAGGGAUGGGCUCGCGGCCUAUCAGCUUGUUGGUGGGGUAAAGGCCUACCAAGGCGAUUACGGGUAGCCGGCCUGAGAGGGCGACCGGCCACACUGGGACUGAGACACGGCCCAGA
rnacentral:rRNA from 1 species